CGUUCUGCGUUCUAUUUUUUCUGAUCGUCCAGUGUGCUAAGUUAGAUGAAUCUGAGAGCCAGGAUAUAAGGACAGCAUUGGAAGAUGUCAUGUUAAACGCAGAAAGCGAAGAUCAGCGUUAUGAUGAACCAAUGUUAAGGAGAGAACCCCAGAAUACAAUUCAAAGAGCCCCCAAACAGCAGAAAAUAAUAAGCAUAUUAUCCAAAUGCAGACGAAGUAAGGUUACGAUGAGUACCUAUAUAGCUACAGACCUUGUGCCAGCUGUCCCAACAUUUCUGUAUUGUAUCAAAAAUGUCUACAUAACAGGCACACCACCUCCAUCUAUAACAAAGGAUGGUGAUACUGCCCUAACGUUUGCCGAAAAGUUCACUGCAGCAAUAAAAGGUUCCGUAAAGACUCUUUUAAAAUUGCUAGAUACAUGUUUUGGAAUAGAAGGGGUCAAAAACUGUGCAUCUAAAAUGUAUAAAGCUUUUCAAAAACUAGAAGGACUAAGCGCUGCUGUCGAUAAACAUUGUGAUUAGCUUUUUUUAAAGUACUAAUAAAAAUAUAUUUGUUUGAUUUUAGAAUA